GACGAACGCUGGCGGCGUGCCUAAUACAUGCAAGUUGAGCGCUGAAGGUUGGUACUUGUACCGACUGGCUGAGCAGCGAACGGGUGAGUAACGCGUGGGGAAUCUGCCUUUGAGCGGGGGACAACAUUUGGAAACGCAUACUAAUACCGCAUAAAAACUUUAAACACAAUUUUUAAGUUUGAAAGAUGCUAUUGCAUCACUCAAAGAUCUACCCGCGUUGUAUUAGCUAGUUGGUGAGGUAAAGGCUCACCAAGGCGAUGAUACAUAGCCGACCUGAGAGGGUGAUCGGCCACAUUGGGACAGAGACACGGCCCAAACUCCUACGGGAGGCAGCAGUAGGGAAUCUUCGGCAAUGGACGAAAGGCUGACCGAGCAACGCCGCGUGAGAGAAGAAUGUUUUCGGAUCGUAAAACUCUGUUGGUAGAGAAGAACGUUGGUGAGAGUGGAAAGCUCAUCAAGUGACGGUAACUACCCAGAAAGGGACGGCUAACUACGUG
rnacentral:rRNA from 1 species